rnacentral:rRNA from 1 species
GACGAACCGUGCGAACGUUGUUCGGAAUCACUGGGCUUAAAGGGCGCGUAGGCGGGUGUGUAAGUCUGUGGUGAAAUCCUCCAGCUUAACUGGAGAAGUGCCGUGGAUACUGCACAUCUUGAGGAGGGUAGGGGCAUCUGGAACGGUCGGUGGAGCGGUGAAAUGCGUUGAUAUCGACCGGAACUCCGGUGGCGAAGGCGAGGUGCUGGACCCUUUCUGACGCUGAGGCGCGAAAGCCAGGGGAGCAAACGGG